GUUAAAGUGAGUAAAAACUGCAUGCAGUUGAGUCUGGAGGACAAGAUCUGACAGGUAGAACAUCUGGAGAGGACAGGAUCUGACAGGUAGAACAUCUGGAAAGGACAGGAUCUGACAGAGAACAUCUGGAGAGGACAGGAUCUGGCAGGUAGAACAUCUGGAGAGGACAGGAUCUGAGAAAUAGAACAUCUGGAGAGACAGGAUCUGACAGAUAGAAGAUCUGGGUGGACAGGAUCUGACAGUUAGAACAUCUGGGUGGACAGGAUCUGAUUGAACGUCUGGAGAGGAUAGGAUCUGACAAGUAGAACAUCUGGAGAGGACAGGAUAUGACAGGUAGAACAUCUGGAGAGGACAGGAUCUGACAGGUAGAACAGCUGGAGAGGACAGGAUCUGACAGGUAGAACAUCUGGAGAGGACAGGAUCUAAUUGAACAUCUGGAGAGAAGAAUAAUGCUAGCGUUCAGCUCCACAGGCUGUUUGUAUAUCCGAGUGUGUGGAGCGUCUGAUGAGGGCGAUGGUUCAAACCCAAACCAGUACUGAGAAUUCAAAGGGUGGGGCCUAUCAUGUACAGAUAUUAUUGGCUAAAGUGGGGAAAGGGAGUGUGAUUUUAGGAGCAUUCAGGAGAAUUUAGAAAGGAAGGAUAGCAUUUACAAGCCUCUCUACGGU